CAGCUGCGUGAACUAAUGUGAAUUGCAGGACACAUUGAACAUCGACACUUUGAACGCAUAUUGCGGCCAAGGGUCCGUCCUUUGGCCACGCCCGUCUGAGGGUCGGCAAAGUUCUACCCAUCGCCGGAGGCUCUUUCCGGCGCGUUGAGCGUCUCGUAGCGGCAUCCGCCUCUCUCUAACCCUCUCCCAUCAGUGGGGGAGGGAAGGGGGGAAGCGCCUGGCAUGCUCCGUGGCUCCAAGUUCAGACCCGGUCCCCCCUUGCAGUGGUGGGUGCUCUUUCACCGCUGUGGGUGGGGGCCCGACUUCCUUUGGCUCCCCCGCCGUGCCUGUCUCCCUCUCUCUCGAGGGGGAGGAGGUGUGACGUCCUCUGUGCGGGCGAAGGACAUGGCUCGGAUGACAGCACACAUCAUGCCUUCGCUCCGCCCACCACACACCUCUCUCCUUGUCCUCCGGGAGCGGGUU
rnacentral:rRNA from 1 species